rnacentral:rRNA from 1 species
UACGUAGGCGGCAAGCGUUAUCCGGAAUUACUGGGCGUAAAGCGCACGCAGGCGGUCUUUUAAGUUUGACGUGAAAGCUCCCGGCUUAACUGGGAGAGGUCGUUGAAGACUGGAAGACUUGAGGCAAUGAGAGGGGUGUAGAAUUCCCGGUGUAGUGGUGGAAUGCGUAGAUAUCGGGGGGAAUACCAGUGGCGAAAGCGGCACCCUAGCGUUAGCCUGACGCUCAUGUGCGAAAGCGUGGGGAGCGAACGGG